rnacentral:rRNA from 1 species
UUUGGUUAAGUUAGAAAGGGCGCACGGUGGAUGCCUUGACACUAGGAGUCGAUGAAGGACGGGACUAACGCCGAUAUGCUUCGGGGAGCUGUAAGUAAGCUUUGAUCCGAAGAUUUCCGAAUGGGGAAACCCACCAUACGUAAUGGUAUGGUAUCCUUAUCUGAAUACAUAGGGUAAGGAAGACAGACCCAGGGAACUGAAACAUCUAAGUACCUGGAGGAAGAGAAAGCAAAUGCGAUUUCCUGAGUAGCGGCGAGCGAAACGGAACAUAGCCCAAACCAAGAGGCUUGCCUCUUGGGGUUGUAGGACAUUCUAUACGGAGUUACAAAGGAACGAGGUAGACGAAGCGACCUGGAAAGGUCCGUCGUAGAGGGUAACAACCCCGUAGUCGAAACUUCGUUCUCUCUUGAAUGUAUCCUGAGUACGGCGGAACACGUGAAAUUCCGUCGGAAUCUGGGAGGACCAUCUCCCAAGGCUAAAUACUCCCUAGUGAUCGAUAGUGAACCAGUACCGUGAGGGAAAGGUGAAAAGCACCCCGGAAGGGGAGUGAAAGAGAUCCUGAAACCGUGUGCCUACAAAUAGUCAGAGCCCGUUAACGGGUGAUGGCGUGCCUUUUGUAGAAUGAACCGGCGAGUUACGAUCCCGUGCGAGGUUAAGCUGAAGAGGCGGAGCCGCAGCGAAAGCGAGUCUGAAUAGGGCGUUUAGUACGUGGUCGUAGACCCGAAACCAGGUGAUCUACCCAUGUCCAGGGUGAAGUUCAGGUAACACUGAAUGGAGGCCCGAACCCACGCACGUUGAAAAGUGCGGGGAUGAGGUGUGGGUAGCGGAGAAAUUCCAAUCGAACCUGGAGAUAGCUGGUUCUCCCCGAAAUAGCUUUAGGGCUAGCCUUAAGUGUAAGAGUCUUGGAGGUAGAGCACUGAUUGGACUAGGGGUCCUCAUCGGAUUACCGAAUUCAGUCAAACUCCGAAUGCCAAUGACUUAUCCUUAGGAGUCAGACUGCGAGUGAUAAGAUCCGUAGUCAAAAGGGAAACAGCCCAGACCGCCAGCUAAGGUCCCAAAGUGUGUAUUAAGUGGAAAAGGAUGUGGAGUUGCUUAGACAACUAGGAUGUUGGCUUAGAAGCAGCCACCAUUUAAAGAGUGCGUAAUAGCUCACUAGUCGAGUGACUCUGCGCCGAAAAUGUACCGGGGCUAAAUACACCACCGAAGCUGCGGAUUGAUACCAAUGGUAUCAGUGGUAGGGGAGCGUUCUAAGGACAGUGAAGUCAGACCGGAAGGACUGGUGGAGUGCUUAGAAGUGAGAAUGCCGGUAUGAGUAGCGAAAGACGGGUGAGAAUCCCGUCCACCGAAUGCCUAAGGUUUCCUGAGGAAGGCUCGUCCGCUCAGGGUUAGUCAGGACCUAAGCCGAGGCCGACAGGCGUAGGCGAUGGACAACAGGUUGAUAUUCCUGUACCACCUCUUUAUCGUUUGAGCAAUGGAGGGACGCAGAAGGAUAGAAGAAGCGUGCGAUUGGUUGUGCACGUCCAAGCAGUUAGGCUGAUAAGUAGGCAAAUCCGCUUAUCGUGAAGGCUGAGCUGUGAUGGGGAAGCUCCUUAUGGAGCGAAGUCUUUGAUUCCCCGCUGCCAAGAAAAGCUUCUAGCGAGAUAAAAGGUGCCUGUACCGCAAACCGACACAGGUAGGCGAGGAGAGAAUCCUAAGGUGUGCGAGAGAACUCUGGUUAAGGAACUCGGCAAAAUGACCCGUAACUUCGGGAGAAGGGGUGCUUUCUUAACGGAAAGCCGCAGUGAAUAGGCCCAAGCGACUGUUUAGCAAAAACACAGCUCUCUGCGAAGCCGUAAGGCGAAGUAUAGGGGGUGACACCUGCCCGGUGCUGGAAGGUUAAGGAGAGGGGUUAGCGUAAGCGAAGCUCUGAACUGAAGCCCCAGUAAACGGCGGCCGUAACUAUAACGGUCCUAAGGUAGCGAAAUUCCUUGUCGGGUAAGUUCCGACCCGCACGAAAGGUGUAACGAUUUGGGCACUGUCUCAACCAGAGACUCGGUGAAAUUAUAGUACCUGUGAAGAUGCAGGUUACCCGCGACAGGACGGAAAGACCCCGUGGAGCUUUACUGUAGCCUGAUAUUGAAUUUUGGUACAGUUUGUACAGGAUAGGCGGGAGCCUUUGAAACCGGAGCGCUAGCUUCGGUGGAGGCGCUGGUGGGAUACCGCCCUGACUGUAUUGAAAUUCUAACCUACGGGUCUUAUCGACCCGGGAGACAGUGUCAGGUGGGCAGUUUGACUGGGGCGGUCGCCUCCUAAAGUGUAACGGAGGCGCCCAAAGGUUCCCUCAGAAUGGUUGGAAAUCAUUCGUAGAGUGCAAAGGCAUAAGGGAGCUUGACUGCGAGACCUACAAGUCGAGCAGGGACGAAAGUCGGGCUUAGUGAUCCGGUGGUUCCGCAUGGAAGGGCCAUCGCUCAACGGAUAAAAGCUACCCCGGGGAUAACAGGCUUAUCUCCCCCAAGAGUCCACAUCGACGGGGAGGUUUGGCACCUCGAUGUCGGCUCAUCGCAUCCUGGGGCUGUAGUCGGUCCCAAGGGUUGGGCUGUUCGCCCAUUAAAGCGGUACGCGAGCUGGGUUCAGAACGUCGUGAGACAGUUCGGUCCCUAUCCGUCGUGGGCGUAGGAAAUUUGAGAGGAGCUGUCCUUAGUACGAGAGGACCGGGAUGGACGCACCGCUGGUGUACCAGUUGUUCUGCCAAGGGCAUAGCUGGGUAGCUAUGUGCGGAAGGGAUAAGUGCUGAAAGCAUCUAAGCAUGAAGCCCCCCUCAAGAUGAGAUUUCCCAUAGCGUAAGCUAGUAAGAUCCCUGAAAGAUGAUCAGGUUGAUAGGUUCGAGGUGGAAGCAUGGUGACAUGUGGAGCUGACGAAUACUAAUAGAUCGAGGACUUAACCAUAUAA